AUUGAACGCUGGCGGCAGGCCUAACACAUGCAAGUCGAGCGGACGAAGGGAGCUUGCUCCUGGAUUCAGCGGCGGACGGGUGAGUAAUGCCUAGGAAUCUGCCUGGUAGUGGGGGAUAACGUCCGGACACGGGCGCUAAUACCGUAUACGUCCUGAGGUAGAAAGUGGGGGAUCUUCGGACCUCACGCUAUCAGAUGAGCCUAAGUCGGAUUAGCUAGUUGGUGGGGUAAAGGCCUACCAAGGCGACGUUCCGUAACUGGUCUGAGAGGAUGAUCAGUCACACUGGAACUGAGACACGGUCCAGACUCCUACGGGAGGCAGCAGUGGGGAAUAUUGGACAAUGGGCGAAAGCCUGAUCCAGCCAUGCCGCGUGUGUGAUGAAGGUCUUCGGAUUGUAAAGCACUUUAAGUUGGGAGGAAGGACAGUAAGUUUAUACCUUGCUGUUUUGACGUUACCAACAGAAUAAGCACCGGCUAACUUCGUG
rnacentral:rRNA from 1 species